rnacentral:rRNA from 1 species
GACGAACGCUGGCGGCGUGCUUAACACAUGCAAGUCUUGGGGGUCUCGCAAGAGAUCACCGGCGAACGGGUGCGUAACACGUAAGCGACCUACCGCAGUGUGGGGGAUAGCCGGCCCAACGGCCGGGUAAUACCGCAUACGCUCACUGGAGUGAGUGCUUUGGUGAGGAAACCCUUCGGGGGCUCUGCGCGGGGCUUGCGGCCUAUCAGCUAGUUGGCGGGGUAACGGCCCACCAAGGCGACGACGGGUAGCUGGUCUGAGAGGAUGGCCAGCCACAUUGGGACUGAGAGACGGCCCAGACUCCUACGGGAGGGCAGCAGUGGGGAAUCUUGCGCAAUGGGCGAAAGCCUGACGCAGCGACGCCGCGUGUGGGAGGAAGCUCUUCGGGGUGUAAACCACUGUGCCCGGGACGAACAACGAGUUUCGACUCGUCUGACGGUACCGGGUGAGGAAGCACCGGCUAACUCUGUGCCAGCAGCCGCGGU